rnacentral:rRNA from 1 species
UACGAAGGGGGCUAGCGUUGCUCGGAAUCACUGGGCGUAAGGGGCGCGUAGGCGGCCGAUCAAGUCAGGGGUGAAAGCCUGUGGCUCAACCACAGAAUUGCCUUUGAUACUGUUUGGCUCGAGACCGGAAGAGGUUGGUGGAACUGCGAGUGUAGAGGUGAAAUUCGUAGAUAUUCGCAAGAACACCAGUGGCGAAGGCGGCCAACUGGUCUGGUUCUGACGCUGAGGCGCGAAAGCGUGGGGAGCGAACAGG